GAUCAUGGCUCAGGAUGAACGCUGGCGGCGUGCUUAACACAUGCAAGUCGAACGAAGAUACUUAAAAUGAGAGCUUCGGCAGGAUUUUUAUUUAUCUUAGUGGCGGACGGGUGAGUAACGUGUGGGCAACCUGCCUCAUACAGGGGAAUAGCAGCUGGAAACGGCUGAUAAAACCGCAUAAGCGCACAGUGCCGCAUGGCACAGUGUGAAAAACUCCGGU
rnacentral:rRNA from 1 species